UCACGGCACCGCGGCUCUCCGCGCCCCUCGGAGCCGCUCAAUGCGGACACGCCGGGGCCGGGAGCUGCCCUGGCCCGGGAACAUCUGAGUAGCGGCUGGAGGAGAGUGAGGCAGGCAUCCCGAGAAGGUCUCCAGCUUCCCAAAGAGGUUUCCAGCAACGUCCUCCCCCCUUGCCUCCUCUCGGCUUGUUUUUCUCUAAGUCCAGGGAAGUUUCGCCACUCCUCGAGAUCCUGAGGCGCCGCCGCAGGUUAAGUAAAAUGCCGAGAAAUGCAGGGAGAGUGCUCUGAAAUAUUGUUUUUCUAACUUCUAGAAGGAAAACAGAGAGCAGUGACCGCUUCAGGCAACAGCAACAAACUGCAUUGGGAUCAGGCAAGAGAUGUAGAGACCUCACCCCCUCCCAAAGGAGCAUCUCAUCACCAGCUCCCAUGCCCGCAGACAUGGCAAUGCAGACAUCCCAUGGAUUAAGCUGUACCCUGAAAGGAAAGCAGGUUGGCUGCAGCACAUAUUGAGAGAGGUGAUUCUCCCCCUCUGCCCUCAUGAGACCUGCCUUGGAGUGCUGCAUCCAGGUCUGGGGUCCUCAGCACAGGAAUGACAUGGACCUGUCAGAGCAGGUCCAGAGGAGGCCACAGAGCUGAUCCUCCUGGGGCUGGAGCACCUCUUCUGUGUGGACAGUCUGAGAGAGAACUGUUCAGCCUGCAGCAGAGAAAGCUUUGGAGAGAUCUUAGAGCCCCUUCCAAACCAUACAAUGUUUAGAAUUUGGAAUGGACCUUAAAGAUCAUUCUGUCCCAAGGCCUCUUGCCAUGAGCAGGGACACCUCCCACUAGACCAGACUGCUCAAGGCUUUAUCCAACCUGGCUUUAAACACUUCCAGGGCUGGGACAACUCCAACCUCCCUAGGCAACAUGUUCCAGUGUCUCACCACCCUCACAGUACAAGAAGGCUUUGGGGUUGGGUCAUAUUUUGCAGCCCCUGCCUGCAUUUGCUGCCGGGUGAGACGAAGGUGUCUGAGAGAGUGCGUGAUUGAACCUGGACAUCACACCCGCCAUCAGGAGAGCGGGAGGAGCUGGGCAGCCGCGGCUGGCACACCACAGUAGGCAUGAAAUCGCCACUCGUAUAUUGUAUUUUCCCUUAAGACUGCCCCGUCACGGAGGCCCCGGGGCCUUUGAGCCGCACCCGCCCCGCCGGGGGCUCCCUGAGGGGA